UACAGAGGUCCCAAGCGUUGUUCGGAUUCAUUGGGCGUAAAGGGUGCGUAGGCGGCGCGGUAAGUCGGGUGUGAAAUCUCGGAGCUUAACUCCGAAACUGCAAUUCGAUACUGCCGUGCUUGAGGACUGGAGAGGAGACUGGAAUUUACGGUGUAGCGGUGAAAUGCGUAGAUAUCAGGAGGAACACCGGUGGCGAAGGCGGGUCUCUGGGCAGUAACUGACGCUGAGGAGCGAAAGCGUGGGGAGCAAACAGG
rnacentral:rRNA from 1 species